rnacentral:rRNA from 1 species
GUGUCAGCAGCCGCGGUAAUACAGAGGUCCCAAGCGUUGUUCGGAUUCACUGGGCGUAAAGGGUGCGUAGGUGGCAGGGUAAGUCGGAUGUGAAAUCUCCGAGCUCAACUCGGAAAUGGCAUUGGAAACUACCCAGCUCGAGGGUUGGAGGGGGGACUGGAAUGCUUGGUGUAGCAGUGAAAUGCGUAGAUAUCAAGCGGAACACCAGUGGCGAAGGCGAGUCCCUGGACAACUCCUGACACUGAGGCACGAAAGCUAGGGGAGCAAACAGGAUUAGAUACCCCAGUAGUCC